CCUGUUGGGCAAACGGUUUUUCUGCCAAAUUUCGCUUUUGGUCAAAUGAAAUUAACGAUUUUCGAAUCAAUAACCGUUUCGCUCAAAUAUUAAUUUCUGCUAAAUGGAAUUCGAUUAGAUGACUUUCAGCGUAAUACCGAAGAAAUCUUGAGAAACUCCCUUAAUUUUCCAAAAAAAAUAUAAAAGAAUUCCGUGGGACUUCCAAACACGCGUUUCCCGCGGAUAUUUCGAAGAAGCUUCCAUACAAAAGUUGUUACGAAAGGAGCGUGGAGGUCUGAAAUCGGCAAAAUUAGCAUUACAUAAUUUGAGAACGUACGUAUGUACGUCUCCGGCUCAGAUAACGUUUUUCCAAAAUAUUCAAAUGGAAUUUAUUUUCUAAUUUUCCACGGGAACUAGUUUAAAGUUUCAACUUUUUUGUAUGAAAGCGUUAUGUAAUUUGUGAACAGCCCCUUAGAUUGUUACGACGAUAUUCAAAAGAUUCUCCCGUAGAUAUCUUGAAAAUGUCUCAGAAAAAUAAAAAAAAAAUCAAAUGCAAAAAAACGCCACGCCGAUCCACGCCGCCGCCGCCACCGCCUAAAUUGGCUAUCGGCGAGAUGCCGUAAACGCCGAUCAAAAUUAUGACAAACGCCGCCGCCGACGAUUUUCGGACCGGCGUACACCUCUAAGCACAGCUCACCAAUUAAAUAAUAUUUUUGGGAUACAAAAAAGUUGUUCUUAUUGAAUACUUGCUGCGUAGUUUCCAAUUCAUGACCAAUAACGAUGCUGGUCACGUCCUUACAGUCAAUUUAGGAUUAGGAGAGGAAAAUUAGUUCAACACUCAUUGUUAUAUAAGACCGAGGAAUGCUUUGCAUUUCCGUGAGCAUAACGGGAAAGGAAUCGUUGGUUAGUAGAGAAGGUAAUUCAUGUGAAGCCCCUUGGUAGCCGACUUAGUAUACUUAGUAUAAUAGCCCUGUUUGUCUGUCCGGAGACUAGCCAACCAGAUGCAGCACGCGGGGAAAUUCUCACAAAAAAAUAAAAUAUUUGACACUUCAAUUCUUUUUUACUAUCAGAUGCAGAAAACAAAACCAGUGACAACCUUAGACAACCAGACACAGCAUUUUAGGGAAAAAAUCACAGACAACAGACGUUAAAAAUUCUGAUUUUUGGAGAAAAAAAAUGCACGGGCAUUUGCACUUGCACGGGCGUUACUGCGCCCACAAAUUAACUAGUUUAUUAUAAACGAAGUUAUUUUGAAAACAAGAAGACGAGAACUGUGUUUUAAGUCAAUCCAACGCAAGAUCAAUGUACUUCGUUUAAUUAGCUUCUACAAUACGAUCGAUUCCGCACUAAAUAUUUUUGUUUUAUCACUUCGCGUUCUCCUACGCUGUCUGGCGUGAUCAGCAUCUACAAGAUCGAUUGUACACUGGUGAAACAAAUUUCUGAUACGCUAGGUAGAUUUUUUUUUACUUCGCGUUCUCCCGGACUAGCUGCCGUCCUAUGACCAGCAGCAUCACGAUCGAUUCCGCAUUCAUCUUGUACAAAUAGUAAAAAAUAUCACAAAAUAUAAAUUUGAAUCUUGGAAACUUGGAAACCUAAAGUUUUGAAAACAACUUAACGAUUUUGUUCAGCGGCGCAGCCAAAAUUUUUGAUAAUAUAAAGAAUGGUUUAAGUUUAAAUUGGAUUCGAAAUUCCGCGGAAUUCCGUAAAAUUUCGUUAGCAGCUAGUUUUUUCUAGCGAAAUUUUUGAAAUUUUACGAAACGAAACGAAAUCAAGACAUGAGAUUUUGCCAUGCUCAAAUUCCGCGAAAUUCCGCGGAAUUUCGUUUCGAACCACCUGAAACGAAAUUUUUCGAAAUACCGCAUAUGCUUACCCACUAGAGUGGGACGGCAUGAUCAUUUUUUUCAAAUCAAUGGUUUUUCGAAGCCAUUCUUGGCCCUAAACAACUGUGCAGAAUUUGAGGCCGAUUGGUUACUUCCUCGCUUUCCGCAUAUCAUUUGAAGUUUGUAUGAAAAUUAGUAUGGGAGAAUGUAUAUUUUUGCAUUUUUACUUCUAGAGGUCUCAGUUCAUCGUAAACCAAUUGGCACAUUGCGUUAAAGUAGAACCCAAAGGAUGCCGAAAAACUUUGCCAAAGAAGGUUACGUUGCUGGAACGUCCACGACAGGGUUAUUAAUCGAUAAAUUAUCAUCGUUAAUUUAACGCCAACUUCGAUAACGAUAACACUUUUUCGAUAAUGCUUCGUUGACGAUAAAAUGAGCGUUGAAUUAACGUUAUCGAGUUUUCGUUGAUUUAUCGAUAAUUAUCGAGUUAACUGUAACAUGUACUACAGUUUGAAGUGCAAAUAUUCACAAGUUGGAUUUGCAAUAUCUAUUUUAAAAAUAUUGUAUCGCCUUACAAUAUUCGAGAACGCCUUUAAAUCCUGGAACUAAAUUGGGAUUCAAGGAGGUAUCCGAAUUGACCAACACAUUAUUUCGUUCAAUCAUUAAAGUUCUUACAGAGUCGCAGUUCUACAUAGUAGAGAAUCUGAGAGCAUUUUUAAUGUCUACCUAAUCUAGCAUUAUUAACUUCUGUUUUGAAGAUCCGGAGCACCCAGUUAUAUGAAUAUUUUAUGACUCACAGUUUAGACUAAACUCCUUAGUCUAACCAAAUCAUAGGAGACGAGUUUAGUCCACCAAUCUGUUGAGAGAAUGUUCACUCGGUACUGGUGCUGCCUGGAAUGCAGCACUACAGAUCGCUGCAUCAAAUAAAUUUCUAGUACUUGGAUCCCAAUAUAUUGCCGAUGACAUCUAUGCUGCAUAGUGAAAAAAAAAACGCUAACCACCAACGAGCACCUCACUUCUCAUCGUUUCGUAGAGCAGCAUGCAUUAAGCAAUAAUUUUAGAGUGCCCCGCUUCAAUCAAAAUUAACUCUGAUCAACCAGCUGCAAACAAUUUGUUCCAUUCUCGACUUCUGUCAAAAUUUUACACCAACUUUAUUCGCGUAAUCUAGUAUUAAUCAUUAUCGCAAAAUUAUCGAGUUAAUUUACGUUAAAUUAUCGAACUACGAUAAUAAUUCAGUUGAUUCAUCGUUAUCGUAACAACCGAUAACGUUGAUCACAAUCAACUUUAUCGGCGAUAACGAUAAAUUAACGAUUAACAACCCUGGUCCACGAAAGAAGUUAUAACGCUUCGAAGGGUGAGCGUUCAAACCAUAUGCGAAAAAUCGUUUAUUCUGCCAGCACAGCUGAGCUACGUGGACCGAUAAUUUAAGUGAGUGUUAUUUCAUAAUUAUUGAUCUUAUAGGGCUUUGGAGCUUUGGGAGUUAUUCGGAAUGAUUUCACAGAGUAAAAAUUUCGACAAGAAGGAAGAUGGGUUUUGCUCUCCGACAACCAUUGGUUGUCCGGUAGUGCUGGCAGAAACAUUGAUUUUUUGCAUCUUUUGAAGCGUAAUAACAAUUUUUGUUACUUUCUUUCAGUUACUUUCCAUUUGUUUUUCUCAUAAGAAUGAAAUAAGUGCAAUGUAAAGUAAAAAUUGGAAACCUUUUUCGCACUGUUAUUCUUAUUGGAAAUGGCAUCCCGCCAAUUGCAAUGGAAUAUUUUACCUACCAUGUGCUUCGCAAACACUAUGUAGGACCUUUGUGCACAUUUUUGUUUUGCUCCGUGACCGGCGCCACGUACACUACCAUGUACCUGCCUGGACGCACGCUUUUGGAAAUUUUUCCAGAUCGGACACAACACGAGGAUUGCUUCCAUAUGUCGGUACCCGACAACCAACUAUAAAGAAGCACAGCUUUGGUUGAAUACUUCAUCAGUUGAGAUUGAGACUUCGAUUGAGUAACUACAUACUGUAAAAAAAAUCACACUUUGCCCAUUAUGGAUUAUCGCAUGGAUGCAUCCGCAAAGGAAAGCGUUGCGAACUUGAAUAACGCCAAGGCAAAACCACUAGAAACGGUUAUCGACGGCUGCGCAUUUCGAGUGUACGGCCACUGGGUCAAGAAGGGCGAGGGCCAAAAUCGGGCCGCCCUCUUCGAGAACACCCCUCGAUGCGAGGUUUAUAAUCUUUAUAUCAACAGCCUUAACCGAUAGGCUUUAGACCGGCCGGCGAGACGCGGCGUUAGCACGAUGGACCGAAGGGUUCCCGACCGCGCAGUUCAUAGAGCAUUCUUCUUCAUGCCUCCUGCAGGUGGGCGUAUAGAAGGCUACCCAUCCAGCCUGUUCCUUAAAGCCGAGCGGAAGCUGUUGCGAGAGCCUGUGUGAAAGAUUUGCGUGAAUGGGACGCUACACAAUGUGCGGUCUGCCAUUAUUGUGUGGAACUAAAUGGAGUCGCUGAGAAGAGCAGAUUUAAGAAUUCUAUAAAGUGAUCACUCAGUCUUAAUAGGGCAAAAAUAUUUAGUUCUUUAGUCAAUAGAUUAAGUUUUUUCAAUUGCGUGUAUGAUUUUGAUUUCCAAUUUAUACAUUAAUAUUUAUUAUAUUUCAACGCAGAUUUUUUUUCGUAUUUGGUGAGCUAAACCAGAUCGAAAAAUUUAAGAUCUUAUUGGAUAUCAAUUUUCUAUAUUACUCUCAUUAACAUAUGUUUUCUCUUAACUCAUGUAGUCGUUUGGUUGCAUUCUAUAAACAGUAUAACUACCUACUGAUGAGACAAAUAUGUAAACAAUGUUAUCUAGAUAUUGAAAAUUCCUGAUUUUUUUGAUAUUAUUAAGCAAAAUCAAGUUUUCCUUUUCUCCAAAAUGGAAUUUAUUUUUAUACGGAUGUUACUAAUUGUGAUUUGUCUUUAAGAUCAAUCGCGCAGAUAUAUAUAUCAUCCAGGUAAGGUAGUGUAGUGAAAAGAAUAUGUAUGUUAACCUUCAAGUAGCACAUAUAUUUGGAAAAUGUGUGUGGUUGAAUUGUUAGCCAGAUAGAACCACAAAUUUUCACCUUUGCGUGAAUUGCCUAUAGCUUGAAAUAAAGAGAAAUGAUACAAUUCAA